rnacentral:rRNA from 1 species
CCUACGGGCCGCAGCAGUGGGGAAUAUUGCACAAUGGGCGCAAGCCUGAUGCAGCCAUGCCGCGUGUAUGAAGAAGGCCUUCGGGUUGUAAAGUACUUUCAGCGGGGAGGAAGGCGGUAAGGUUAAUAACCAUGUCGAUUGACGUUACCCGCAGAAGAAGCACCGGCUAACUCCGUGCCAGCAGCCGCGGUAAUACGGAGGGUGCGAGCGUUAAUCGGAAUUACUGGGCGUAAAGCGCACGCAGGCGGUCUGUCAAGUCGGAUGCGAAAUCCCCGGGCUCAACCUGGGAACUGCAUUAGAAACUGGCAGGCUGGAGUCUUGUAGAGGGGGGUAGAAUUCCAGGUGUAGCGGUGAAAUGCGUAGAGAUCUGGAGGAAUACCGGUGGCGAAGGCGGCCCCCUGGACAAAGACUGACGCUCAGGUGCGAAAGCGUGGGGAGCAAACAGGAUUAGAUACCCGAGUAGUC